CUACCGGUUAAUAAAAUGUUAAGAAAAGAUAUAAACCAACGAAGGAAAUUGUUACUUUGCACAAAGAUUGAAGUCGAAGUUUACGAACGUUUCCAUGUGCAGUAUGUUUCAUUCACCUUCUCCAAACUGCUUUUAAACCUAACCUGCUUUUUUCAUACAUUACCGUUUUACCUGCAAGAGUAACGAAGACGUCGAAGCGAAUAAACAGCCCUAGUGAAAUAGAAAGUAAACACUAUACAACUUCCGUUCUGAAGGGUUAACAGUUAAAAAGUUUUGACAACAUUAAAAGCUAACACCGAACAAGCUUUCUAGAAACGAAGUGAAUGGCACGCCGGUGAUUAAAAGGAAACUGAAGCAUUAAUAUAUUCCACUCAGAAAGUUAGCGCCAGAAGAGGGCGCUGCUGCAGGAAACAGAAACUUGAAAGUUUGUUUUAAGGUUAGGUGUAAACUCGUGAUCUCCAUCUUCUCUCGUACUCUUCGCCAAUUGUAUUCCUUCCAAAUAACCUCGACUAUGUAUUUUCUACAUUCGUACCCGCGUAUCGCUACGUUAAGUUCGUACACCAAGGAUGGCUCUAAGCGCAAGAACAGAAUGCCGAGAGGUUUUUGGCGAUGUGUCUACUAAGCGUUCAAACGAAGUGCUCCUCCUGUUCCGUGGAGUUAGUUCUCCUGGUGCCACCGAAAACGCUCUUCAGCCUGAUUUCUCUGCAAGUGACAGCUCCAAAUAGUUGGACAAAGCCUUUCCUGAACUUGGUGCUCAUCAGAUUAUAGAGGACAGGGUUUACAGCGCUAUGGAUGUAGCACAUGAUCCUGCUGAAGUUCAGCAGCGCGAAGAACGCGUCCUGGUUGAUGGCGGCGAUCUGUUCCACCGGUGCUACGAUUAUGAACACGACCAGGAUCCUGUACGGCGUCAGGCAAAGGAAGAAGCUGCUAACCACGGACAUCAGCAUCGUGAUCGCGUGUCUCUUGGCGCGGGCGUGGUACGAGUCGCUGGUGUUGCCGGCGAUUGAUCGGUCGGGCAUCAGGUGCUUGAUGAUCACCCCGUAGAGGAUCAAGAGGAUCAGCAACGGCACCAGGUAGAACAAGAGGACCAGGAGCAAGAAGAAGACCACGGUGGCGGUGGUGUCGGCCAUGGUCAGGCAGACCGGGACAAUGUUCUUGUCCUGGUCGGUCUUGCUCUCCUUCAGACGCAUCUCUCGGUACUGGGAGACCCAGAUUAUGGGACUGCAAGCAGUGAAAAUUAGUGUGGAGGAUCAUGGACACCCGAGCGGGAUGCUGAGGGUACUCAAGCGGGGUGGUUACGAUCGAUGAGUGGCGCUUUGGUGAUGCUGUGUUCUCUCGGUGAAAUCGAAGCAGUCUAUUCUGUGGAACGAAGUCUGUCUGCUGAACCUCUUGGAUUCAGCGAUUAAUCUCGGAGAACUAGAUUCGAGGAUUUAAAACAGAAUAUCGAUUAAAGAUCGACAAGGUGGAACACGCAACGAGAAAACACAGUAACAGGAAAGCCGUUCGUAGCCCUUCAACCACAACCAACAGAGUCGUGACGCUUUCCAUUAAGCAUGAAGCUCGCGAUUUCAAAUGCUGGGUCGAACUCUUGUCACUCGAGGAAGGACACAAACGACUUCGCGAUACACCUGUGAUCGUCCGUGGACUCCACGGUGGUGAGUUUAGCGAAGCGGAGAACAAGUUUGUUAGCGGUUAUUCGGUCGACGGGUGAUCGACUGCGGUGACGUCCUCGGAUGCGAGUUUCCGAACACGGGAAAUCUGGUUUCGAUUAAACGACACGGUGGAGUGGGAUCUCGGUUUAUCCUGUAGAAGUGUCCCUUGGCAAUAUCAAUUUUAACACUCGUUUGGUUAGUAUACAACACGAAAUGAUGAGAUAUUCAGAGUCGAUUUUCCAGAGUCUGACGCGAUGGAAAUCGAAGAACGAGGCGAGUACAUUAAAUUCUCCAUAAUUGACGCUCGGAUUGUACACAUAAAUGGAGUGCUUUGCGAUUCGUUUUU